rnacentral:rRNA from 1 species
CAGCACCUCAAGUGGUCAGGAUGAUUAUUGGGCCUAAGCAUCCGUAGCCGGCGCUGUAAGUUUUCGGUUAAAUCUGUACGCUCAACGUACAGGCUGCCGGGAAUACUGCAGCGCUAGGGAGUGGGAGAGGUAGACGGUACUCGGUAGGAAGGGGUAAAAUCCUUUGAUCUAUUGAUGACCACCUGUGGCGAAGGCGGUCUACCAGAACACGUCCGACGGUGAGGGAUGAAAGCUGGGGGAGCAAACCGGAUUAGAUACCCGAGUAGUCC